CUAACACACACCAGUGUAUGUCAAACAUAAGUACAGAAUUUUAUUUAAAUUUUGAACUGCAACUUCGCGGUGGUAGAGCUGCAUCUAUCUCUCGCCUACGCUUGUGGGGUUAGACAGUUCUGGAAUGUGCGCAGAGGAGUGGAGUCACAUGGUGAUUAUGAGCCAUUCCUUACAUCCCUUUAAACUUUGGAGCCUAAGAAGUCAAUAGUUUGGUUAUACGUCUGAGUUUGGUUGUACGGAGUUUGGAAGACAAGAAGAGGUCUCCCUAUACAGUCCCCACUUUGAAAUUCCCGUUUGUAGUCUCCAGACCUCAAAAGUCAGUGGUCUCACAGAAGAGCCCAGGAGUCAUUGGUUUCCCGCUUUUGGCCCAAGCUCCCGGCGUAACGAAUGCUAACGCAGAACCUCCGCCGACAGCCGCUGCGUCCCGUCCCCCGCUGGUCUAGUCGCCCGCCGCCAACCCCGGGGGCGGGCGCUGCGCCAGGGCUUCGGGACCCAGUGCCAGACCCAGAGCGCCGCCGGGCACCCGAGGGUGACAGCAGGAGAGAAGAGGUGAACACUGGAAAAACAUGACUGAUUCUGUGCAACUUGGAAAAGGAAAAGUCAUCAGCAAGUCCCAUCCUUACCACACACAAAUACAUUACAGAGAGGGCCAAGCUGGAGGUGGUGUUGUUGACAGAAACAUUGUAAGCAGAGAAGGUGAAUCAAUCCAUGGAGUAUCCCUAUCACACUGGAUGAAGCUCAGAAUUGGCCUAAAGAAAGUGGAAGUGAGAAACACACAGGCCGGUCAGAGGCACACAGCUGCCUUCUCUCCCAGCUGACUUUGGGCAACCACACAAGGCAAAGCCAGAGGAACCAAGAAAGGUAUUAAUUGGCAUCUACUGAACCCCGAAGACCUUCACUAGCAUUAGUGGAGCGUCAAACAAGGAAUGAACUCACUAACCAGGAUGGCCAAAGUGGGAAGCAUGAAGAGAAGUGCAUUCUGAGACUUAUUUUAAAGGAGCCGGGGAGCAAGUGCCAAACCCUUCCGCACACGGGCUCUCACUGUCCCCCUCCCUGCUCCCGGAGGUGGCGAUUAUGUGUCCCUGCUUGGCUCAGGCCUGAAGCACACCCUGGCCGGGAGGCAGCUGGCACUGGCCCAGGCAUGAAUCCGUGCCUACCCCUCCGGGCCCCACUUCCAGCAGGUCACCCGGGUCUGUGUUGUCACCUUGAAACAUUCGAGAGAGUUGUGAGCUUCAGAAGGUGAGACGUGUGGGGCUGGGGGCAGGGCAGGCCAGCCCGGGAGGGUGGCUGGAGAGCUUUUGACAGCCCAGAGCAGAGCCCAGGGUCCUAUUCCUGACAACGUGAGCCCCCAGGCAGGCGCCGAGUGGAUAAGAGUGUAGACAGUGAGGCCGGCCGUGAUGCUUGCCAGCACCUGCAGAUAGCAGGCAAAUAAUUGGCACAUGUUUAAAAAAAAAUUAAAAAGCUAUUGGAUGUGAGUAUUUUCUAACAGCGUCUGGCGGGAGUGCCCGGGAGGAAUUUAAUCAGCAAGAGUUGUUUAAACGGGGCUUUGCACACAGGCCCUGGCGAGGCUCGUAAUGAACUCCGUAUCAUGUGCCACCCCUGUCUGCUGGGGACAUUCAAUUUGUUAAUUCUGCAGCUGGUGAGAGAGGUCAGAUAGGAAAGUGACGAUUGUUUUCUGACGUUCCAGCCCCUGCUCACAUCUUUCUAAUUAAUCCUUUUAGGAGCCACGGGUAGAUUAAGAAGGAGAAAAGGUGCAGGCAGCAAGCGUGAGAGAAAUUGAUGGGAAGACA
rnacentral:lncRNA from 1 species